rnacentral:rRNA from 1 species
GCUUACCAUGCAGUCGACGAGGUCCAUGGAGCUUGCUCCGGAAGAUCUAGUGGCGAACGGGCGCGUAACACGUGAGAAACCUGCCCCGAUCUCUGGGAUAACAGUUGGAAACGACUGCUAAUACCGGAUGCCGUCACACCGCUUCAUGGCGGAGUGCCGAAAGAUUUAUCGGAUCGGGAGGGUCUCGCGGCCUAUCAGCUAGUUGGAGAGGUAACGGCUCACCAAGGCAUCGACGGGUAGCUGGUCUGAGAGGAUGAUCAGCCACACUGGGACUGAGACACGGCCCAGACUCCUACGGGAGGCAGCAGUGGGGAAUCUUGCACAAUGGGCGAAAGCCUGAUGCAGCAACGCCGCGUGCGGGAUGAAGGCCCUAGGGUUGUAAACCGCUUUCAGUAGGGAAGAAAAUGACGGUACCUACAGAAGAAGGUGCGGCCAACUACGUGCCAGCAGCCGCGGUGACACGUAGGCACCAAGCGUUAUCCGGAUUUAUUGGGCGUAAAGAGCUCGUAGGCGGUUCGGUAAGUCGGGUGUGAAAACCCUGGGCUCAACCCAGAGACGCCACCCGAUACUGCUGUGACUAGAGUGCGGUAGGGGAGCGGGGAAUUCAUGGUGUAGCGGUGA